UCUCUGUUAGUAUAUCGGUUAGUACACGCGCCUGUCAUGUCGCAUGGCCGCGCGAAAGCUGGGUUCGACUCCCAGACAGAGAG
rnacentral:tRNA from 1 species